ensembl:misc_RNA 7SK 7SK RNA
GGAUGAGGGCAAUCUGGCUGCAGCAUCUGUCACCCCAUUGAUCGCCAGGGUUAAUUCGGCUGAUCUGGCUGGUUAGGCGGGUGUCUCCUUCCUCCCUCACCUUUCCAUGUGCAUCCCUUCUGAAGCUGCGCGCUCCUAAGGAAAGCCUUCCCCAAAUAGAGAUGGACUGGUCUUCGGUCGAGGGUAUACGAGUAGCUGAGCUCCCCUGCUAGAACCUCCAAACAAGCUCUCAAGAAUGUAAAAAAAAACACUUAAAUUUAAACUGUUUCCAAAAGGAGGGCUACAUAGAGUCCCUGUGU